rnacentral:rRNA from 1 species
GACGAACGCUGGCGGCGUGCUUAACACAUGCAAGUCGAACGGAAAGGCCCUGCUUUUGUGGGGUGCUCGAGUGGCGAACGGGUGAGUAACACGUGAGUAACCUGCCCUUGACUUUGGGAUAACUUCAGGAAACUGGGGCUAAUACCGGAUAGGAGCUCCUGCUGCAUGGUGGGGGUUGGAAAGUUUCGGCGGUUGGGGAUGGACUCGCGGCUUAUCAGCUUGUUGGUGGGGUAGUGGCUUACCAAGGCUUUGACGGGUAGCCGGCCUGAGAGGGUGACCGGCCACAUUGGGACUGAGAUACGGCCCAGACUCGUACGGGAGGCAGCAGUGGGGAAUAUUGCACAAUGGGCGGGAGCCUGAUGCAGCAACGCCGCGUGCGGGAUGACGGCCUUCGGGUUGUAAACCGCUUUCGCCUGUGACGAAGCGUGAGUGACGGUAAUGGGUAAAGAAGCACCGGCUAACUACGUG